rnacentral:rRNA from 1 species
AGCAGCCGCGGUAAUUCCAGCUCCAAUAGCGUAUAUUAAAGUUGUUGCAGUUAAAAAGCUCGUAGUUGAAUUUCGGGGUCAGUAGGUUGGUCGUGCCACUGGUAUGCACUGGUCUCACUGAUUCCUCCCUCUUGUAGAACCGUAAUGCCAUUAAUUUGGUGUUGCGGGGAAACAGGACUGUUACUUUGAAAAAAUUAGAGUGUUUAAAGCAGGCUAACGCUUGAAUACAUUAGCAUGGAAUAAUGAAAUAGGACGUUCGAUCCUAUUUUGUUGGUUUCUAGGAUUGACGUAAUGAUUAAUAGGGAUAGUUGGGGGCAUUAGUAUUCAAUUGUCAGAGGUGAAAUUCUUGGAUUUAUUGAAGACUGACUACUGCGAAAGCAUUUGCCAAGGAUGUUUUCAUUAAUCAAGAACGAAAGUUAGGGGAUCGAAGACGAUCAGAUACCGUCGUAG